rnacentral:rRNA from 1 species
CGGAGGGUGCAAGCGUUAAUCGGAAUUACGUGGGCGUAAAGCGCGUCGUAGGCGGCUUGGUAAGUCGAUUGUGAAAUCCCCGGGCUCAACCUGGGAAUUGCAGUCGAGACUGCUUGGCUAGAGUGUAGGAGAGGGUGGUGGAAUUCCCGGUGUAGCGGUGAAAUGCGUAGAUAUCGGGAGGAACAUCAGUGGCGAAGGCGACCACCUGGCCUAACACUGACGCUGAGGUGCGAAAGCGUGGGUAGCAAACAGGAUUAGAUACCCUGGUAGUCCACGCCGUAAACGAUGUCAACUAGCCGUUGGAGGACCUUAGACGUCUUUAGUGGCGCAGCUAACGCACUAAGUUGACCGCCUGGGGAGUACGGCCGCAAGGUUA